UAUGGACUCAGGUAAGGGAAGCCUCUUGACUUCACAGGUCCUACAGGAGCUGAUGAGAACUUUAGAAAUAAAGUGGGAGCUCCAUACUCUGUGGCACCCUCCUUCUUCAGGGAAAGUAGAAUGAAUCAAUCAGAUGCUGAAGAAGCACUUGUCAAAAUUGGUUUCAGAGACCAAAUUACCAUGGACAAAGUGUUUGCCUGUAGCCCUUGUCAGAAUACAAACCACUCACAGAAAAGGCUUAGGAGUAUCACCACACGAAGUGCUGUUUGGGUUGCUGUACUUGGGAAUGGUGAGAUGCCCGCUCUUGAAACCAAGGUGCACUCAUCCCGUGUUGGAGACUGGUCCUAAUACGCGCCUGGCAGAAAUCAAGGCUUCAGCCUGAGUGGGAAGGACUAUUUCAGCGAUGCAGUGUUUCAGAAGGGAGAAAAGCACGGCAGGCGUAAACUGGAUUUCUGUGGUUGGUAAAGCUGUGCUGAGAAGUGGGCUGACACUUGGACCUGGAAAUGUGUCUGCAGACUCUGCACCCAGAGGAAUGACUUUUCCCUGCAGGUUGGGCUUGUCUAAGGUGAUUUUUUCACAAGGAAAGAUUUGAAAUGCUGUUUGCUAAUGGAAGAUGGAGAGAGGAAAAUCAAGUCAAAGGCACGCUGUGCACAGCCAGCACAUAGCAUCUGCACCGCUCUCCCCCUGCACAAAGGAGGAGCAGCUCAGCAAGCUUGGCCUGAGCCAUGGAAGGCAGCACACAAACAUCUGGACCAACCCCAAUGGAGCUGGUUCUGCAGGUUGGUUGU